rnacentral:lncRNA from 1 species
ACACUUCCCAGCUUCAUCUCCCGGCCGCACGCACAGCACCACUCCUCCUCCCGGAGAUCGCCGCCGUCCGCAUCGCUGCAGCACGCGCCCCCUCACCUCGCCGGGGCCGAUCGCUCCACCGCCUGCCUGAGUGUAGGUGUGGGCGCUCAUGCCAGCGAGAGGCGCACGGGAUCUGUGGCCGUCGCUAGGGACCUGGACGCACGCGGGGCAGCCGCCGGCAAACGAAGCCGCUUGUGAGAGUAUGGCACGCGCGCCGAACACCGGUCUCCUCCCUGUUGUCAUAAGGUAGCCACUAAGAUCUCUUUCGAUCUCAAUCCCUUCUUUCUGUUUCUUUUUUCAGAUUAAUAUGGAGAUGUGGCGUGUGUUCAUACAGAUUGCUCAAAACAACUUUGCUCUAUCACUGUAUUGUAACUCUGAAAAUUAAUUUGUAUAUUUUGAUUAAUGUAUCAAGUUUGUGUGUUCAUCAAGGCCGAUUCUGCCCUUUUGCCACUGCCCACUUCGAUAGGCCGAGGGUCACCAUACAUUGGUUCUCCGCCUUGCAGCACUUCCCAAUAGGUGUGCUCCUCCCACCCCUUACUAUCUUUUCUUUCUUUCAUCAUCGGAAGAGUUGAGAUUAUCAAGGAUAGGAAUAUGAACAAAUAUGAUCACGCCCUAUGUUGUGUGUACUUUGUUGUCCAUCUGUACGUGCUACCCCUAGGUGGGUGACGCUCUGGUGAUUACAAUACUGACUGUCCAUGAUUUCUUUCUUAUGUGCGAUUUCUGGCCCAACUAACAUGAUACUAAUUUGCUUCCCUUCGUUUUUUAGUUACUGUACCGGCUGAUACAUCCAUCUGUUGGGAGGUUAUUUUGCUAUCAACUGUUAUGCUAGAUUUCUGCUUUUUCUAUUCAUGCUUGGUAUAAUGUCUGAACCGUUGUAACCAUAUAAAACCAUCUGAAUUGUUCAUCCGCCUGACAUCACCACCGUUGCCCCUGAUGCCCUGGUUGGCCAUCCUUGCUGUUGUCGUCUAAUAGAACCGCCGUUACUGCGGUUCUCAUCGGAACAAGGCUGUUAAUAUUAAGAACACAUCUUCUUACAUAACCGGGCAAGCCAUUACCUUCUAUUCUUUCUUAAUAUUCUGUUGUUUCAUCUAGUUCAUGUUAAUACUCAACAGCACACAUCAUUACCCGUUUUUAAAGUUCUCUUCCAUUUGAACAUUAUGCAAGGUACAAAGACAUGUCCGGAUAAUAAAAUUACUUGUAAACAUUUUGGGAUUUUUUCCUCCUCUGUUCACUGUACCGUGUUCUGUUCAAAAUACAGUCAUAAUGUCCACCCAUUUGAAAGAUGAUUGAGGUGAAUGUGAUACUAAAUAAUUGUCCUAACUUACUCAAAGAUGAUGCUUAUUAGGCUUGCUAACACAUUAGCAGUACCAUUGCUCAUUGAGGACCAAAGUAAAUAUUUAUGCACUGAUGCUUGUUUAUCACUGCCACUAUCCACAUUUUGUUUAUCUGUGGACCGCACGUCUGAUUUUUAUUAUUUUCCUUACAAAUACUUAAAAUAAUAGCUGCCAUUUUUGCUUCGUCUUUGCCCUACCAGACAAAUAUCAUCGAGUAAAAUGGUUCAUGCUGCAUGUUGCAUUCUAUGUUGAUGACAAAUAUCUUUCUUGAAUGGUUACUUAUAGUUUACAAAUCCUUGACAAAUACACAUUCUGAAAGUACAUACCCCCACUAAGUUUCUUUUUAGCCAUUAUCAUGAAAUGUAUCUCACGGUUCUUAUUUUCCGUUCUGUUGCAUCACUUUUUUUUCCGAGAAAACACAAAGAGAUUCUUGUGUUUAUUUCGAUUGAAAAGAUAGGGUUCUGUUGCAUCACUACAAAUAAUAUGUUCAACUACUUGGGCUGCUUUGAAAACUGCUAUGCGUACGCGUUGGGCUGCUUUGAAAACUGCUAUGCUACUGUACUGAAUUUUGCAAUAUGUUUCGAAAAUGGAAAUGUUUGUAGCCGAAUUGAGCUAAGAUAUCGAGAAGAUCUUUUGUUCCCUAAACGGUUAAUAGAAUAAAUAGGAAGUGUGAAAGGGUUACCACUAAGCACACCUCCAUCCCUUACUGAAUUGUUCUAUAUUCGCAUGCCUAUUCUGCCCUGCCUACAUGAAUUUAAACGCUACAAGUAGAGAUUUACAAUCUGAUUAAGAUGAUCAAAGUGUGCUUACUGGUUUGAUUUGUUCUUUUCCCACUCUAAAAGCGAUUAUGGCCUACAAGUCUCAAAAGGAGUGAUUAUAGCAUCUGUCAUGGCUCUCCAUAUUCCUGAUGGGUGUAGUAUGCUUGAUUCACCAUUGAGAGGAUUGUCAUAAAAUAUCUCAGAAUCCAGUCAUGGGCCAUAGAUAGAUUUCCAUGUAAGUUAUGUUUACAAUAUCAAGUUAAUAAAAAUAAAGAAUGCGCUAGGGACAUGGAUUAUGUCUAACUAACCAUUUUGUUUCUGCAGUAUGGAUUGAACUGGGAGAAUGAAUUAGUUAAUAACAUGAUUGUAAAGGAAUAUGAGAAGCUGACAUCACUAGAACUAAAGUUCUUAGUGUUGUAUUUCUCAGUCAGGUUCAUCAUUUCUUCAACAGUCGAAACUUUAAAAUGUAAUCAUUGUCGUAAAGCAAGUGGAAUAUGUUUAUGCGAACUGUCAAACUAAAACUUAGAAAAAAUAUUGUUGAUUACUAAUAAACGAUGUAACUUUUGAAGGAAAAUUUCAUCGAUGAAGUAACAGAUGGAAUGAUUUGUUGUUCAUGUACAUUUUGAUAAUUUUUCUUUCAUCGUUUUUGUUGUUGAUGCACAGAAACAAAUCGUUGGUAGAUAGGAAUCUUUCUGAAAAUGAUUUCCUCGUAAUGCAGUUUCUCCGAACAUGUUCGUUUGAAGUCUUAUGCCUGAAAUAUGUUUUUAUUUAUUUUCCAUGUGUUAUUGUUCAGGGCCAAAACGUUGCAGAUAUGGGAAAAGGAUGUUGAUUGAUUCAUGCUUGGUGUUCUCUGGCAACCUAAAGUAUUAUUUGCUUCUGAUAAUAGCGAAGGAAGGUCCGCCACAUUUGCCAUUUACCAUAUGCCUAUUUCUUUUGUCAGUGUGACCUAGGCGUUAAAUAUGGUUUGCCUAUUGACUAUGUUAGAGCUGACUUAUGCGAGCUGUUAGCCUUUUGAUGAACAUAUGGUGUUGAUUGUUUAAAGCUGGAAUGUUCAGCCUCUCUGCAUGCCAACUACCUUUCGGACACAUGAACCUAUUUUUACUAUGGUCAUCAUUUGGGAGUAGUAUGGACACCUAAUUACUAUGUUGUUUUUAACAGUUAAGGAUAAUGGACUUACUUUUCAAAGUAUGUGUGUCAGUACAUGUGCUUCAUGCUAAAAUUUGGCUUUGUUUCUGGAAAUUAAGUACAUGUGAUUGUGAUUAACAUACAAUUUUGUCAAAUAUGCUGGUCUGAUUAUUUCCAUCUUUAUUAACAAUGGCAGGUUUAAUUACUUAAUACCUCAUAUGCUUUUUAGUGGUUUGUAGGUGGGCACAUUAAGAUACCUCAUGAUGAAGAUAUUCAGUAACGUGCUUGAAAUUAUUGGAAAAAGUUUGCAAGCAACCUACAUGACCUGCUCAAGCUGACCCUGUUACCACACUUGGAAUCAAGCUUCCAUUCCCUGCCCUUAUCGUCAAGAAACUUCAGGAAUAGUUCCCGUUUGCAACUCUUUUUGUAUAACCAAAUUGACAUCUCAGAUUGAUAUUUUACCUUGAGUGUUGAUUCAAUUGUGUGUGAUAUAAAGAUUUGAAUUCCAUGAGCACAUAUUUUUUCUAUUAUUAAUUUUUCAUUAGUCAUUAGCUCAUGAUUUUCCCAUGGUGUAGAAUAGGAUUAUAGAGGAGAGCAAUUACUCUUAACGACUCGGUUUUCUUGUGUAACUUGCAGAACUGCAGUGAUAGGGUAGAGAUUUUCAUUCGGAGUUGAGAUUUUGUUUUGCUGCUGAGAUUUGAGAUUCUUAUGUGUUGCACUAAAAGCUACAUAUAAAUACUGACUCAUUAUGAC